CAUUACCGAGUUUACAACUCCCAAACCCCUGUGAACAUACCACUUGUUGCCUCGGCGGAUCAGCCCGCUCCCGGUAAAACGGGACGGCCCGCCAGAGGACCCCUAAACUCUGUUUCUAUAUGUAACUUUUGAGUAAAACCAUAAAUAAAUCAAAACUUUCAACAACGGAUCUCUUGGUUCUGGCAUCGAUGAAGAACGCAGCAAAAUGCGAUAAGUAAUGUGAAUUGCAGAAUUCAGUGAAUCAUCGAAUCUUUGAACGCACAUUGCGCCCGCCAGUAUUCUGGCGGGCAUGCCUGUUCGAGCGUCAUUUCAACCCUCAAGCACAGCUUGGUGUUGGGACUCGCGUUAAUUCGCGUUCCUCAAAUUGAUUGGCGGUCACGUCGAGCUUCCAUAGCGUAGUAGUAAAACCCUCGUUACUGGUAAUCGUCGCGGCCACGCCGUUAAACCCCAACUUCUGAAUGUUGACCUCGGAUCAGGUAGGAAUACCCGCUGAACUUAAGCAUAUCAAUAAGCGGAGGAAAAGAAACCAACAGGGAUUGCCCUAGUAACGGCGAGUGAAGCGGCAACAGCUCAAAUUUGAAAUCUGGCUCUCGGGCCCGAGUUGUAAUUUGUAGAGGAUACUUUUGAUGCGGUGCCUUCCGAGUUCCCUGGAACGGGACGCCAUAGAGGGUGAGAGCCCCGUCUGGUUGGAUGCCAAAUCUCUGUAAAGUUCCUUCAACGAGUCGAGUAGUUUGGGAAUGCUGCUCUAAAUGGGAGGUAUAUGUCUUCUAAAGCUAAAUACCGGCCAGAGACCGAUAGCGCACAAGUAGAGUGAUCGAAAGAUGAAAAGCACUUUGAAAAGAGAGUUAAAAAGUACGUGAAAUUGUUGAAAGGGAAGCGUUUAUGACCAGACUUGGGCUUGGUUAAUCAUCUGGGGUUCUCCCCAGUGCACUUUUCCAGUCCAGGCCAGCAUCAGUUUUCCCCGGGGGACAAAGGCGGCGGGAAUGUGGCUCUCUUCGGGGAGUGUUAUAGCCCACCGUGUAAUACCCUGGGGGGGACUG
rnacentral:rRNA from 1 species